AUUGAACGCUGGCGGCAUGCUUUACACAUGCAAGUCGAACGGUAACAGGCCUUCGGGUGCUGACGAGUGGCGAACGGGUGAGUAAUGCACCGGAACGUACCCAGAGGUGGGGGAUAACGCAGCGAAAGCUGUGCUAAUACCGCAUGUGAUCUGAGGAUGAAAGCGGGGGACCGAGCAGCAAUGUUUGGCCUCGCGCCUUUGGAGCGGCCGAUGUCGGAUUAGCUAGUUGGUGGGGUAAAGGCCUACCAAGGCGACGAUCCGUAGCUGGUCUGAGAGGACGACCAGCCACACUGGGACUGAGACACGGCCCAGACUCCUACGGGAGGCAGCAGUGGGGAAUUUUGGACAAUGGGCGCAAGCCUGAUCCAGCAAUGCCGCGUGCGGGAAGAAGGCCUUCGGGUUGUAAACCGCUUUUGGCAGGAACGAAACGGUGUCCGCUAAUACCGGGCGCUAAUGACGGUACCUGCAGAAUAAGCACCGGCUAACUACGUG
rnacentral:rRNA from 1 species